AAAAGCCAUUUUUCUUCAAGUGGAAGAGAUGUUCGAUCUCCCUUUACAAACCAAGCAACGAGUUGUGUCUAGUAGGCCAUACCAUGGUUAUGUUGGGCCUCUUCAACUCUAUGAGAACAUGGUAAUUGACGAUGUAGAUAAUCAUGACAGUGGAAAGUUUAAUCAAGAUCUUAUGGCCACAAGGAAAACCAAGUUUUAGGCAUGCAUUAGAAACGAAGCUUUUAUUUAUUUCACACACCACAUCUCAAACUUAUAGUAUUUGUCAUCUAUAAACUUAUCACAUCAAUUAACUAGUGAAACAAGAUUUUUUUGCCAUUAUAACAACUUUAACUACGAAAAAAAAUAGUUUAAGUACUAAUUUAAUCUUUGUACUUACACGUUUGUUAUGUUUUAGUCCUUAUACCUAUAAAUGACUCAUUUUAGUCUCUAAAUACAUACUUUUUAAUCUAUUGUAAUUUCUACAAUUUUGGAUAUAGAGACUAAAAUGGAUUCAAAGAUAUACAUGUAAGGACUAAAAUAAAUACUAAAACAUAAGAUUGAAAGUGUAUAGAGAUUAAAUAAGUAAUUAAAAAAAUAUUAGAACACCUUUUUGACCCCUCUUCAUGUUAAUUAUUUGGCAGCAAAAAUCUACAAUCCUUCACAGAGCAAGUGACAAGAUUGGAUCGGAUUAUAAGGAAGAUGAUUUUGGAGAGUUUAGGAAAAAUAUAUGGACGAGCACAUGAACUCAACAAAUUACCUUGCACGGCUUAUCAAGUGCCAAGGCCCUCAAACUAAUGAAGCAAAAGUUGGCAUAGGAGAGCACACAGACAAGAACAUAUUGACCACAUUGUGUCAAAAUCAAAUUGAUGGUUUAGAGGUACAGAUCAAAAGUGGAGAGUGGAUCAAAUGCAAGCCUCAACACCAAAUAGUUUCGUUGUUGUCACUGGGACACACUUUAUGUAAUUAAUUUCUAUAUACAUUCCACUUUCUCUAGAAAAAUUAUAAAAUUAUCUUAUAUAAAAAAAAUGUGACACUAAAAAAUUUGAUGAUUAAUGCAAAGGUUUAAUAAAAUGUGUUGCAGGCAUGGACAAAUGGGAGGGUGCAUACGCCUAAUCACCGAGUGAUGAUGAGUGGAAACGAGACAAGGUUCACUAUUGGAUUAUUUACAGUUCCAAAACCAGGGUUCAUAAUAAAGGCCCCUGAGGAGCUUGUGACAGAGGAACACCCUUUGCUCUUUAAGCCCUUUGUCCAGAGUGAGUUCAUGAAGUUUCUUCACUCUUCUGAGAGUACAAAGAAUGCUCUGAAGGUUUAUUGUUGAGUCUGAGAUUUGAUUCAUGAUUACACUAAUGCUCCCUCUACACAAUCCCUUUGGAAUUUUCAUAAAAGUGUGUAUUAUUUGAAUAAAGUUUGCAAUAUAAUGUGUGUAUGCAUAUGUAUGAACCUUUCUUCUCCAAUUCAUAUGGACAGAGAUUGUGGGAGUUUUGUAUUAUCCAAACUCAGGAAGAGAGUUUGUUUCAGAGUAAGGUUAAAUUAAAAGUAAGAAAAUAAAAUAAUCAACGCACUUAGGAUGUGGUUGUAUCACACGAACAAACACAAAGCUGAAGGCCAAAUUAAACUUUAAAUAGAGCUAGACAAGACUUGGAGAUCAUAUAUAGUCCUAAAGUUGAAACCUAAACUAAAUAAUCUACCACUAGUAGGCACAGAUCAUAGAGUUGUAAAUAACAUAAACAAAUUAAGAAACAGAAGCCCCAAAAAUGACCAAAAUAUCUUUAUGAUGGAAAGCAUACUAUUAACUAAAAUAAGUUUGCAAGUUCUCAAAUUUCCUCUACUGCAUGGUUUUUAUCUCCCAUGAAUAUCAAUUUAGCCUCCUUAUUGUUGAAGGAAAUAAUGAUAUAAAGACAAACGACUUUCUCACUCACAAGGUUAGAUUUUUUUUAGGAGUGAUAAAAUACUGAUUGGAGUAUUUUAUUCUUUGGAUAGAUUUGAAUCAUGCACUGUAGUAACAUCUACAUUUUCUCUUCACUACCUAUUAUUCGUAUUCUUGUAAUAGUUUGUAUAAUGUUCUAACUUCUAACUUCAUUACCAUCAUUAUACACUUGAAAAGAGCGAGGUAAAAUAAUUAUUUUCUUAAUAAAGGCAAAGUUGAGCUCAAUAAUUCAUUAUUUUAAUUGGAUAAAAUAAAUUUUUUUUCUCACUUAUAUAUUUUAUUUUAAACCAGUUAUCUGACAAUUCAUUUUUUUCAACCAGUUAUCUGAAACAUUUUUACGUUUCAUUUCACUACUCAAUGAUAGUUUCCUUCUGUUAUGAUGAUGUGAGAGAAAGAAUGUCACGGUAUCACCUUUUUCCCCUUUUUUAAGGGAAACCACCACCAGUGCGCCACUACCAUCGAUCACGCUGCACCACCACCAUGGUUGACCGCGUCGUCCAACCCCUUCUGGUGAGAGCAGUUCACACUUCAUUCCUGCUUCCCAUAGUCGCAAGGAAAAAGAGAAAAAAAAAAAAGGAACAGAGAGAGAAUGCAACAAACUCAAUGUGCGAGUUCGGGAACUUCCAAUCCUGCUCUAACUUGCAGAAGAGCUGAAAUACAACACAGCGGUGAACCUCACAAAUCGCAGUAACGGAAAACUACAGUCAAUCCAGAAUGCUUCGAUUUUUUUAAUUUGUUUGUAUUUAAUUUCUAUAACGUCUUUACCGGAUUGUCAGCAAAGAAAGAAAGGAAUAAGAAGAUAAUCUAGGGUUUUGAGACGGAGAAGAAGCAAUCACGAAAGCAGGAGAAAGUGAUAGAAGUUAGAUCGAGCAUAAAAUUAAAGAGAGAGAGAGAGUGGAAGCUUACAACAAUAAGCUUGAAGAGGUUGGCCUCAUUGGGAGAAAGAGAAGCACCCAUUGUUGUGGUGGCAGAGACUGAUAGUGAGAGUGCGAGCUUUUUAGUGGAAGCGGAGCGAAGAAGAGAAAAAGGGUUCAGUUGUGGAUGGCGUGCGUGCAGUGCAAGUACAACCCUCGUGUCCUCAUCCUUUGUGGUAGAUUUGUUUAGGGGAUGCUAUGGGAGGGUCGUAAGGGAGAAGGGGAAGGGGUUGGAUAGCGCGGUGGUGGCGGUGGUGGUGGUUUCCGUUGGAGAAGGUGAAGAAGGAAAGAAAGUAAUAAGGUUUGU
rnacentral:lncRNA from 1 species